GGAGGCAAUGGACCAUUAUCGCCACCAGGCGGUGUAUCCCUAAUAACAUUGCUUUUGCAACAAUUAAUAUGUCCUUUAUUACAAUCAGUACUAGCAGCUUUAAGUUUACAGGGUCUUUGUCUGUGAAAAAAAAUGAAAUACGCACUAUAAACUUCUAUUAUCGACAUCGUAAAGGCAUUGUUAUGAAAUAUUUUAUUUAUUAAAUUAUUAUCAUUACUAUUAUACAUAUAACUGGACUGCACUGUAUCUCUUUUUAAACACGUUUAAUUUUUAAGUCGACAAGUAUUGCAUGUAUUUUGCAUUUCUAAUAAAUAAUAUAUUGAGCAACUA
rnacentral:sRNA from 1 species